ACCUUGGUGGCGUAGUGGUAGCACGCGUCCCCGGUAUGGAUGAAACGCGGGUUCGGCUCCAGUUUGAGGUC